CUCGCUGCUAAGCUAUCGCCGCUGCCAACCUAUCUAUUGCUGCAAGCUAUCCCUCGCUGCUAAGCUAUCCCUCGCUGCCAACCUAUCUAUUGCUGCAAGCUAUCCCUCGCUGCUAAGCUAUCCCUCGCUGCUAAGCUAUCGCCGCUGCCAACCUAUCUAUUGCUGCAAGCUAUCCCUCGCUGCUAAGCUAUCCCUCGCUGCUAAGCUAUCCCUCGCUGCUAAGCUAUCUAUCACUGCUAAUCUAUCGCUGCCAACCUAUCUAUCGCUGCCAAUUUAUCUACCACUGCCAAUCUAUCUAUCACUGCUAAUCUAUUGCUGCUAAUCUAUCACUGCUAAUCUAUCGCUGCCAAUCUAUCGCUGCCAAUCUAUUGCUGCCAAUCUAUUGCUGCCAAUCUAUCGCUGCCAACCUAUCUACUGCAGUGAAUCUAUCUAUCACUAUCAUUACUAGUUCAAAAUAGAACUAGAGCAUAAAUACACUAAACUUCUUUUGAUAGAUAAUGAUUUUUGAUAACACUCAUAGCAUUAUAUCAUCUAUAUAGGGUAAAUCAUGGUCCCAUUUGGUCCCAU
rnacentral:sRNA from 1 species